AUUGAACGCUGCGGCAGGCCUAACACAUGCCAGUCGAGCGGAUGAAGGGAGCUUGCUCCUGGAUUCAGCGGCGGACGGGUGGGUAAUGCCUAGGAAUCUGCCUGGUAGUGGGGGAUAACGUCCGGAAACGGGCGCUAAUACCGCAUACGUCCUGAGGGAGAAAGUGGGGGAUCUUCGGACCUCACGCUAUCAGAUGAGCCUAGGUCGGAUUAGCUAGUUGGUGGGGUAAAGGCCUACCAAGGCGACGAUCCGUAACUGGUCUGAGAGGAUGAUCAGUCACACUGGAACUGAGACACGGUCCAGACUCCUACGGGAGGCAGCAGUGGGGAAUAUUGGACAAUGGGCGAAAGCCUGAUCCAGCCAUGCCGCGUGUGUGAAGAAGGUCUUCGGAUUGUAAAGCACUUUAAGUUGGGAGGAAGGGCAGUAAGUUAAUACCUUGCUGUUUUGACGUUACCAACAGAAUAAGCACCGGCUAACUUCGUG
rnacentral:rRNA from 1 species